AUGUCCCGGGGCUGGUGCAGGCCUGUCUGGCUGUGGCGUUAGGUUCGGGGACCGAUGUAGGCCUCUCGGGCUGUGGCUGUACCUUCAGGCCUCGGGGCCGGUAUAGGCCUCUUGGGCUGUGGCUUUAUAUUCAAAGCUGGUGCUGGCCUCUUGUGCCGUGGCUGUGGCUUUAGGCCCUUGGCCUGGUUCCAGCCUCUCUGGAUGUGGCUUUAGGCCCCGGGGCCAGUGCUGGCCUUUUGGGCUGUGGCUUUAGGCCCUGGGAUCAAUGGCAGCCUGUGUGGCUGUGGCUGUGGCCUCAGGCCUUGGGGCUGGUGCUGGUUUCUCAGACUGGGGCUGGGGCUUUAGGCCCUGGGGCCGGUGUAGGCCUCUCUGGCUGUGACUUCAGGCCCUGGGGCCGGUGCUGGCCUUGCUGGUUGGGGCUUCAGGUGCCGGCCUCUCUAAGUUUGGCUGUGGCUUUAAGCCCCUGCACUGUUUCAAGUCUUUCAAGCUGUGCCUUUAGUCCCCAGGGCCUUUUUUGGCCUGCCUGGCUGUGGCUUUUGCUUUAAGCCCC
rnacentral:lncRNA from 1 species